CCGGUUUACACAUCAAUAACCUCUAGAAAAAAUGUGUUUAAUCCUUAUAAUUCUUCAGCCAAACAUUUUUUUGUUGAUGGCUACUAUAUAUAUUUACCACUGAUCAAAAGCACAAUGGCAAGUCGUAACUAAGGAGUACGCCGCCAUCUUGACUUUCUAAAAACCAUAAAUGUCCGAUAAAUACAACGGAAUCUUAAAUGAAAAAGCACCUACCUCAAAAACUUCAUUUUAAUUAAAUUUUAUCCGAAUUUGAAGCGUACACGUAACGAAAUAAUCUUUCCCUUGAAAAAUUCCAUUCGUAUGACGUCGUGUUUUGCCAUGACGUAAAUUCGCCAAAUCCUUAAUGAAAUUUCGCGGAAUUUUAUUAAAUUUAAUUUUUGUACACUUUCGAAGCUUUAGUGCAAUAAAUUUAUUUCUUUUUUUGUUAUAUAUGCACUAGAAUAGUCACAACUGUUAUGCAAUUGUUUUUUAAUCUCAAUUUGCUGAAAAUCCCGGGAUCACUGCAAGCUUGUGUAUCGCGCAUGAAUAGAUUACAAAAGUAGUUUCGGAAACAGGGUUUAUCGAAGUGUAAACUUAGAGAAAAAUUCUAAUUGACCAAUCCAAUUCAAGUAUUUAUUGAUAUGCA
rnacentral:lncRNA from 1 species